CUCAACCUGAAGCGUGCCUUGUCCUCUGAUCUGCUGACUCACUCUGCACAUAGUGGACCACAGAGUCCAGGAGGGAGAGAGAUACCAGGAAGAGGUUCUUCCUGAGAGCUGGCUGUGAGGGAGCAGGCCAAAGACGAAGCCAGGGGCUUUGUGGCCAGCGCUGGAGCCCAUCCACUGAUCAGCAAAGCAAGAGCCGGUACACAAACGGAGAAGCAGAGGGGAACAGCUCGCGAUGCACGAGAUUGCCGCUUUUUAUCCCCCUGGUGCGAAUAGCAAAAUAAUGCCUCACUAUAAAGCAUAAGGCGAUGCUGAGAUUUAAAAUAUGUAUGAAUUCUGGUUUUCUAAUACAUUGUGCAAACUUACUUAUAGGAUGUGACCAUCAGGUCCCUCCCUGAUUCAAAGCAAGUAUGUGUGUGUGUGCACGUGUGUGGCGAGGGACCAAAUCUGUGUGUUCUUGCUGCAUUCUGAGAGGAAACCCAAGGGACCAGAAGCUGCAUUUACAUUCAGCUGUUUUCUGGUAGAUUUAUGCCUUGGCAUGAUUUGUUUACAUUUAUUUCCACAGUACAUGUCUGUGGAGGAUACAGCUGGAAAGCUCCGCAGGGAAAGACUGCCUGCUAGGAUGUAGAGCUGUUUUAUGUGGUGGGAGGUGUUUAAGAAGGGCCCUCAAAGCUUCCUUGUGUACUUGUUCAGCUAUAACCAACAUUCAAAUUUAGCUAACUCUGAGGCAAUAAUGUAAUCACUGCUAAAAAGAUAUUGGGUGCUUUUGCCAAUUGGACGUCAGAGCCAUUUGGCAGUGAUGACAUGCUCCUCCACUCACCACGAUGACUGAUGGGAUAUUAAAAAGUGAAUCACCUCCGCGGGAGAGGGCGGUUAACUGUCAGAGUUAGGCUAGUGAGGAACAUUACCCUCCUCUGUAUAUAAUGAGACAUAUUUAAAACAGCAAUCAUCGCCUCCUUUGAACCUUGGGUCACAGUGCAGAAUCAAUCCUUCAGGUGAUUGAAAAGAAAGGCCAUGUGUGUGUCAGACUUAACCAAGGUCACACAUGCAUGUGGAAUGAAUGUUCUCUUAGAACUGCUGAGCGUGAUUAAAUUUACAGCUUAGAUUCACAUUCGGACUCUAAAUCAUCGGUCAGGUCAUUAUGUGAACUGCCGGUCUUCUUCGAGCUUCUUUCAAUUGAAUUAAGGUAUUAUUCUGGGUAAUUUGGUUUGGAGAUUAACACUUCGUACGGGCUACAGCGUCUUAGUUGCUUCGGGAUGAACAAGGAAAAAAGAGGAAAGAGACAUUUCAGCAGAUAAUUUAUACAUUUCUGCAGGGUAUUUGCUAAACAAUCAUCAGUUUAGAAAUAUAUAUAGCAUUCUUAGUUCCUUUUACAAAAUUGUAUUUCAGAAUUUAGAUUCAGUAUACAGUAUAUUAUGUUAACAAUGUCUAUGCUCAAAUGUUUUAGUCAUGAAAGUUCAUACAUGUUUAAUAUGUCAGUUGUGGUUCUUGUGGUCUUAAGCAGAGAUGUUUCCGUAGCAAAUUGUGGUUGGAAUUCAUAAAUACUUCCAUGCAGGUUGCCCCGUAUUACUGUUUCCCCUUACUUAAUGAGUUUUACAGCCAUAAAUGAUUCAGCUGGUUCCCGGUGUCAGUUUUAUAUUUCUAUUUGGAAAA